UACGUAGGUGACAAGCGUUGUCCGGAUUUACUGGGCGUAAAGAGCGCGCAGGCGGUCGAUCAAGUCGAGUGUGAAAGCCCCCGGCUAAACUGGGGAGGGUCAUUCGAUACUGAUCGACUCGAAGGCAGGAGAGGGUAGUGGAAUUCCCGGUGUAGUGGUGAAAUGCGUAGAUAUCGGGAGGAACACCAGUGGCGAAGGCGACUACCUGGCCUGUUCUUGACGCUGAGGCGCGAAAGCUAGGGGAGCAAACGGG
rnacentral:rRNA from 1 species